UGCUGGAAUACAGAGAGGAAUCAAACAGACAAAACUCCUUGCCUGCAUGGAGCUUACCCUCAGCUAAGGGAGACAAUCAAAAACAAGUCAACACAUCUAAAGAAGCUGUUGAUGAAACAGGCUCCCCCUUGGAAAGACCAUCUCAUCUUCCAGCCUCUCCAUCCUACAGAGAGAGGAAAACCCAACUUUGGUGUUGGCAGUCAGGUAGUUUCAUUAGAUCUGGAAAGCACCUCAUCAGCAUCCCCCUGGCCGACUGGAAGCAACCGUGACGAUGUGCUGAACGCCCUUGCAGAGUUGUGCUGUGGUCUCUCUGAGCUCAUCACGGCACCUUCCUAUGCAGGAGUUUCAAUUCAAGGAUUUAGCCAAAUUUGGGUGGUACGUCCCCUUUUGUGGGGGCACUUUUCCUCACAAUGAGCAGGACGUCUUAGGACUCCAGGACACUGAGAGGGAGGAAGUCUCUACAAAUCAAAGUGGGAAUAUCAGCCUUCUUAUACUUGGACAACUCCAAAAUUGUGCAGUUGGCAGAUGGACCAUCAUCCAUUCAUUGACUGAACACCUGUUAGGUGUAAGACACUGUGCCACAUGCUUUCCUUGGGGAUUGCCUUCAAGCAGCUAACAGAAAUAAGAAGAAAAGAGGUGAAAAAGACAGCGUGAUAUGCCAUGGUGGUGGAUUGUGGAUGCCCUGCCC